rnacentral:misc_RNA from 1 species
AACGCACAUUGCGCCCAUUAGUAUUCUAGUGGGCAUGCCUGUUCGAGCGUCAUUUCGACCAUUAAGCCCUAGUUGCUUAGCGUUGGGACUUUACAGCGAUGUAAUUCCUUAAAAUUAGUGGCGGAGUUGGAUCAAACUCUAAGCGUAGUAAUUUUUCCUCGCUUCUGUAGUUGGCCCGGCCCCUGCCGUAAAACCCCCUAUUUUUUAUGGUUGACCUCGGAUCAGGUAGGAAUACCCGCUGAACUUAA